rnacentral:rRNA from 1 species
CAUGUAGGCGGGUUUCUAUGUCGGAUGUGAAAUCUCUCGGCUUAACUGAGAGGGGUCAUUCGAAACUGGAAGCCUUGAGGGCAGGAGAGGGAAGCAGAAUUCCCGGUGUAGUGGUGGAAUACGUAGAUAUCGGGAGGAAUACCAGUGGCGAAGGCGGCUUCCUGGCCUGUGCCUGACGCUGAGAUGCGAAAGCGUGGGUAGCAAACAGGAUUAGAUACCCUGGUAGUCC